GGGUAUAUUGGCCGAAUAAUCCGAGAAAAAACAAUGGUGGGGUCAGCAAGGUGACCUGUCAUCUGUCAUCAUCUGUGUUCCCACUUGCGACCCCCUACCGUCACCAAUCUCCAUCAAUAUAUUACGGAUUACAAAUUGAUGCUGGUUUGAUAUGUUGUCAUUCGAAACAAAAAAAACCUACGGCUUCCAACAUGCAACGUAAACCACAGUCACUUCAUCCAGCCUGUCAAGCCACACUACACCUGGCUACAACGACAUUUUUUGUUGGAUACAUUGACUUUUUAGAAUUUUUCCUUUCCACUUUAUCCAUUCUUACCCCACAUUUUUUUCUGCUAGCUUGAACCGACAUUAGACUUUAUAGACCAUUUUCUCAAUUUAUGUGUCUCGACUGAAAUACGGAACUUUUUCGCCUCCCACUUUCUCAUUUGAAAAUAUAGUCCGAACACUAUAGUUAUGGGUCUAUGCUACGGUAGACACCUACGGUUGGAAACCAUCUCUCUCAACUCUCUCUUCCUGCGGACUUUCUAUUCUGUCUAAAUGUAAUCUCGCAACUUUUUUUACUUCCUUUUGGGCUCUUUUAUUGUAAUUGCUUUUUUUAAUCUUAGACUAAAAUAGCAAGAUUAAAGGUUAUCAGCCGGGAGGUACAUCUUGAUAAGUACUACUUGCUGGAAACUGAUUCUCUCUGCACGUUUUUACUAGCACAACUGGCAUUCUUCACUAGGUGAUUUUCUAGGUGAUAAGUUUUUAUACAGAGAACAUAAACACUGGUCACCUAAAAAUUGUCUACUUUGCACGUCUCACCCAAGUCAGCCUCGAAGAGCUCCCACUCAUUUGCUGCCUGUUCUCUCAUCCGGAGAACAGGCUGCAAUGAGAAAGUGCACAGCGAGAUUUUCUUGGGUCAGUAAUAGCUUCCCGGGUAUGGAACAAUAUGAAGAUGUCCUUGCUUCUUUUAAUAAAUCUUUUACUAU
ensembl:ncRNA R106.8 ncRNA